rnacentral:tRNA from 1 species
GGAGUGGCACAGUUGGUAGCGCAAUUGAUUCGUAAUCAAUAGGUUCGUGGGUUCGAGUCCCAUCUCC